UACGGAGGAUCCAAGCGUUAUCCGGAAUCAUUGGGUUUAAAGGGUCCGUAGGCGGUUUGGUAAGUCAGUGGUGAAAGCCCAUCGCUCAACGGUGGAACGGCCAUUGAUACUGCCAGACUUGAAUUAUUAGGAAGUAACUAGAAUAUGUAGUGUAGCGGUGAAAUGCUUAGAGAUUACAUGGAAUACCAAUUGCGAAGGCAGGUUACUACUAAUGGAUUGACGCUGAUGGACGAAAGCGUGGGUAGCGAACAGGAUUAGAUACCCCUC
rnacentral:rRNA from 1 species